rnacentral:rRNA from 1 species
AGAGUUUGAUCAUGGCUCAGAUUGAACGCUGGCGGUAUGCUUAACACAUGCAAGUCGAACGGUAACAGGAAAAGCUUGCUUUUCGCUGACGAGUGGCGGACGGGUGCGUAAUGCGUAGGAAUCUGCCUAGUAGUGGGGGACAACUCGGAGAAAUUCGAGCUAAUACCGCAUAAGCCCUACGGGGGAAAACGGGGGAUCUUCUGACCUCGUGCUAUUAGAUGAGCCUACGUUAGAUUAGCUUGUUGGUGAGGUAAAAGCUCACCAAGGCGACGAUCUAUAGCUGGUCUGAGAGGAUGAUCAGCCACACUGGGACUGAGACACGGCCCAGACUCCUACGGGAGGCAGCAGUGGGGAAUAUUGGACAAUGGGCGAAAGCCUGAUCCAGCAAUACCGCGUGUGUGAAGAAGGCCUGAGGGUUGUAAAGCACUUUCAAUUGGGAGGAAUACCUAAUGGUUAAUAGCCAUUAGAUGAC